rnacentral:rRNA from 1 species
UACGAAGGGGGCUAGCGUUGUUCGGAAUUACUGGGCGUAAAGCGCACGUAGGCGGAUAUUUAAGUCAGGGGUGAAAUCCCGCAGCUCAACUGCGGAACUGCCUUUGAUACUGGGUAUCUUGAGUAUGGAAGAGGUAAGUGGAAUUGCGAGUGUAGAGGUGAAAUUCGUAGAUAUUCGCAGGAACACCAGUGGCGAAGGCGGCUUACUGGUCCAUAACUGGCGCUGAGGUGCGAAAGCGUGGGGAGCAAACAGG